GACGAACGCUGGCGGCGUGCCUAAUACAUGCAAGUAGAACGCUGAAGGAGGAGCUUGCUUCUCUGGAUGAGUUGCGAACGGGUGAGUAACGCGUAGGUAACCUGCCUGGUAGCGGGGGAUAACUAUUGGAAACGAUAGCUAAUACCGCAUAAGAGUAGAUGUUGCAUGACAUUUGCUUAAAAGGUGCAAUUGCAUCACUACCAGAUGGACCUGCGUUGUAUUAGCUAGUUGGUGGGGCAACGGCUCACCAAGGCGAGGAUCCAUAUCCGACCUGAGAGGGGGAGCAGCCGCACUGGGACGGUGACACGGCCCAGACUCCUACGGGAGGCAGCAGGAGGGAAUCGUCGGGAAGGGGCGGAAGUCUGACCGAGCAAGGCGGCGGGAGGGAAGAAGGUUGUCGGAUCGGAAAGCACUGUUGUAAGGGAAGAACGAGUUUGAGAGUGGAAAGAUCACACUGUGACGGUAACUUACCAGAAAGCGACGGCUAACUACGUG
rnacentral:rRNA from 1 species